CAGUAUACAAACUGUUCGAGCACAAAGAAAAAUUCAAGUACCAAAGAGAAAAGCCAAUAACAUUACAUGGAAUAGAGUGGAGUGUCCUCGACAGCGUAAUAAUAUAGAUUGUGGAUAUUACACGUUGAGGUUUAUGAAAGAAACUCUUCUUAUGGAUCGAACAGAUAUUCCAUCUGAUUACUUUGAUGAAUAUAGAUGUGCUUAUUACUCAAAAGAUCAGUUGGAUGAAAUUAAAGAGGAAUUGUGUCAAUUCAUUAUCGAGCUACAGGCUUUGUGAG